GUCACAGCUCACCCCCAUUCCUUCAUAAAUCACGUCCCACAGCCCACAACGCUACCGUGGCAUCAAAUCCGCCACCUUCAAACCACUUGUCAUUUCAUUCCGCAGAGUCCCACUUCCUCUCCCGCUCCCACAAAAAACCAUGGAAAAAGAACCCCCCCAACACCACCACCAUCACCACGACCACGACUACGACCACCAACACUCACCCCUCAAAUCCCCAUCCUCACCCACCUCCACCACCACCACCACCACAACCACCGCCGCAACCUGCUGCAAUUGCGGCGCCCCAACCAGUUACGCACCACCACCCACAUGGUCCGACACCUCCCCACCUCCAAACUACCGCCCAAUUCGCGCUCCGGCGAUCAACCUCCCCCCAAGCAGCCACACCCAACAAGCCAUAAUCCUCGCCCCGGUCCCACAUUCCCAAAAGGUCCCACUCGUCUCCCCACCUUACCAUUUCCAAACCCCAGCCAAAAAAAUCCAAUCCCCCGAAGAUCUCAACCACUUCCAGAACUCCGAUUCCGGCAAAAACUUCCUCGGCUUCGUCGUCGCUCUCUCAGAGUCAAUUCGCUCCCACAAACUCUCCGACCCUUGCCACCAAUCCGAAACCAUCAACUCCAUCGUCUCCAUUCUCGAAACCCUAAUCCAAUGGGUCGACGAAAUCCCUCCGGCUCAACAAACCGCUCGCUACGGCAACCUCUCGUACCGGACCUGGCACAGCCGCCUCACCGAAACCAGCGAUUCGCUGAUGCUCCAGUUCCUCCCGGCCGAUCUCCAAUCCGCCACGAUCGAGAUCGUCCCUUACUUCACCGAUAGCUUCGGGAACUCGAGCCGAAUCGAUUACGGUACCGGCCACGAGACCAACUUCGCGGCGUGGCUGUACUGCUUGGCUCGAUUGGGAGUCAUCAAGGAGGAGGAUUACCAGGCCGUGGUAGCUAGGGUUUUCGUGAAGUACCUGGAAUUGAUGAGGAAACUGCAAUUGGUUUAUUGCUUGGAGCCUGCUGGUUCUCAUGGCGUUUGGGGGCUCGAUGACUAUCAUUUCUUGCCGUUUAUCUUCGGCUCGUCACAGCUGAUCGAUCACCGGUACAUGAAGCCGAAAUCUAUUCAUAAUGAUGAUAUACUGGAGAAUUUCAAUAAGGAGUAUCUGUACAUUUCUUGCAUUGCAUUUGUGAAGAAGGUGAAGAAGGGUUUGUUCGCGGAGCAUUCGCCUUUGUUGGAUGAUAUUAGCGGUGUGCCUACUUGGAACAAAGUGAAUAGUGGGUUGCUGAAGAUGUAUAAAGUGGAGGUCUUAGAGAAAGUCCCCAUUAUGCAGCAUUUUCUGUUUGGCUGGCUCAUCAAAUGCUUUUAAGCCAAUAAGCUUUGGUUCAAGCGGCACUUCUGCCAAGUGUGGGGUGGAAGGUGAAGUCAUGGGUUCACAACUCAUUGAGUGGAGUAGCGUGGGUGUUUUGCUGUGGAAACAAGAAAAGUUAAGCUCACCAGGUUUCAUGCAACUAUAAACACAGAAUGUACCUAUGGUAGUAGGGAUGAAUUGUGUUUUCCUCCUCCUUUUUUAAUCUUUUAUGCAUUUUUGUUGCUAUAAAUAUUUCACAGAUAAUGGAAGUUUGGCGACAUUUAUUGAUUAGUUAAUGAGAUAGAUAUCCUUAUCUAUGUAGACAAAUUUGUGUUAAGCUAAGCUGCGGCUGCAUACUAUAGUGAGAUUCGGAAAUCCAGUACGGAUUGCAUUGA